rnacentral:lncRNA from 1 species
AAAUAUCUUAUUUGAAAUGUUAUGAUGAAGCAUGAUUGAACAUAUUGAUUUCAUGAUGCAUUAUAUUGAUUGAUUUCGAUACUACAUGAUUAUAUAUUUUAUUAUCGAAAUUAGAAUAUGAAAUAUGAUUUAUGAAGAAUUAUGAUAUAAGAACAAUAUGAAUUGACAACCUGACUAUGUAAAGGACCCUGCCAAUGGGGG